UCGGUACUGGUCAGUACUGGUCAGUACUGGUCGAGUCGGGUCCUGUCGAGUCAGUACUGAUCGGGUUGGUACUGGGGAGAGUGACAUGAUAAGUCCUCUUGUACUUGAGCAACCUUCGGUGCUGUCCUCGUACAAAGCAGUUUAUUGUCAUCUCAUCACCAGGGAUUGCGUGGCAGCUGCACAGAUCCCAGGCCUGCAGGAUCGUCCUUUCAAGGGGAGGAAUACACCAAAUAACUUCAAGAGUUUUAGAAGAUGUCAGCAGAUAUACCAUUAAAUAUUAAUAUCAAGGAGCCCCGAUGGGAUCAAAGCACUUUUUCUGGACGAGCCAAUCACUUCUUUACUGUAACAGAUCCCCGGAAUAUUUUGUUGUCUGAUGCCAAACUGGAAAAUGCAAGGAAAAUUGUGCAUGAUUACAGACUAGGUAUUGUAGCACCUGGCUUGACAGAAGAUGAGUUGUGGAGAGCAAAAUACAUCUAUGAUUCAGCCUUUCACCCAGACACUGGUGAAAAGAUGGUCUUGAUUGGCCGAAUGUCUGCUCAGGUCCCCAUGAACAUGACCAUCACAGGUUGUAUGAUGACCUUUUAAUAGAACGACACCAGCAGUGCUUUUCUGGCAGUGGAUCAACCAGUCCUUCAAUGCUGUAGUAAAUUACACCAACAGGAGCGGGGAUGCCCCAAUCACUGUCAGCCAGCUGGGAACAGCCUAUGUUUCUGCCACCACCGGUGCUGUCGCAACAGCUUUAGGACUUAAUGCACUAGCAAAGCGUGUCUCACCUCUUAUAGGACGGUUUGUUCCUUUUGCUGCUGUUGCUUCUGCAAACUGCAUUAAUAUUCCACUAAUGAGACAAAGAGAAAUCAAGUUUGGAAUCCCCGUCACAGAUGAGGAUGGGAACAGAGUGGGUGAAUCAUCCAAAGCAGCUCAGCAGGCAAUCACCCAGGUGGUUAUCUCAAGGAUUCUUAUGGCUGCUCCUGGAAUGGCAAUUCCUCCCUUCAUAAUGAAUACGUUGGAAAAAAGAGCCUUUUUAAAGAGAUAUCCUUGGUUGAGUGCUCCCAUUCAAGUUGGAUUAGUUGGAGUCUGUCUCGUGUUUGCAACUCCCCUGUGCUGUGCACUGUUUCCUCAGAAAAGUUCUAUGGCAGUAUCACGCUUGGAGCCAGCAUUGCAAGCCCAGAUCCGAGAGAACAGCCCUGGCCUAGAACGUGUAUACUUUAAUAAAGGAUUAUAAUUCAAGGAAGGCAAAAUAUCUUUCAAGGAGGAACUUGUGAACUUAUUUUUGAAUUGUGUGCCAACAUAGUUGAAGAUGACAACUCACCUUUAACUUGUCCGUUUGUUAAACAAGUUUGAUCAUCUGCGUUAUUAUAUAGUUAAGGACUUUCCUCACUGUAGUGUUUAAAUUACAAAAGGUCACUUUGUCCACUUUGGUAUUGAUUAAAAGUUUAUCGAUACGUACCCAGAAAUGUUUACAUAAGCUCUCAAGCAGCUACAAUAACAAUAAACAAGCGCACAAUGAAAACCA